rnacentral:rRNA from 1 species
CUGGCUCAGGAUGAACGCUAGCUACAGGCUUAACACAUGCAAGUCGAGGGGCAGCAUUGGGAUAGCUUGCUAUCCAGAUGGCGACCGGCGCACGGGUGAGUAACGCGUAUCCAACCUUCCCUAUAGUAGAGAAUAGCCCGGCGAAAGUCGGAUUAAUGCUCUAUGUUGUGUUUUGAGGACAUCUGACGAACACCAAAGGUUCACCGCUAUAGGAUGGGGAUGCGUCUGAUUAGCUUGUUGGCGGGGUAACGGCCCACCAAGGCGACGAUCAGUAGGGGUUCUGAGAGGAAGGUCCCCCACAUUGGUACUGAGACACGGACCAAACUCCUACGGGAGGCAGCAGUGAGGAAUAUUGGUCAAUGGGCGAGAGCCUGAACCAGCCAAGUAGCGUGCAGGAAUGACUGCCCUAUGGGUUGUAAACUGCUUUUAUCAGGGAAUAAAGUGCGGCACGUGUGCCGUUUUGUAUGUACCUGAUGAAUAAGGACCGGCUAAUUCCGUGCCAGCCGCGGC